ensembl:lncRNA
GACCACAACUACCCCCUGCUCACGACCAUGACUACCCCCUGCCCACGACCAAGACUACCCCCAUGCCCACGACCAUGACUACCCCCAUGCCCACAACCAAGAAAGCUCAACUGAAGAGACAGGUGGUGAGAGUGAAGAUGACCCCAAAGGAUCAAAAUCUGAACCUCAGAGAUCUUGCUGUUCAGGACGACAUCUUACAAGAGAUAAGGAACAAGCUGAAGGAGCAGGGGUUACCUGCAGACACCAAAGUGACAUGGAAAAAGCAGCCUGAUGGGAAGGUCUUCCACAAGGAGGAAGAGGGGUCUCCCAAGAAAGAAGAGGAGGAGAAGAAGAUGAAGAGGAUGAUGACAAAGCAAGAACUCUAGUUAUGUUAAAUGUUCUCCUACCUUUUCGCUUUUUAAAAUUUAGAUUAAUUAUCUGUACUGGGAUGUAUUUUCUGAACCUAAUUCAAUGUGUUUUAUUAAUUAAAUUGUUUAAGUAUAAACAUUAAUAGUGUUUUAUCAUGAGAUGUUGUUAUUAAUCAUUUUCUUGACUUGGUUGUUUUAUUACAGGGUUUGUUCUCAAGACAGACAUUUCACACAUCAUGUCUAUAAAUGAGUUAUUUGUAGUUAUGUUGAUAUUCAGGGCUGAGAAAGAGUAUUUGCCUCCUUUCUAAUUUUCUCAACUUUUACAGAUUUAAGAUGCUGAAUGUUAUCAGAUCUUCAAAGAAAACAGAAUAUUAGAUGAAGGGAACCUGAGUGAACAAAUAACACAACAAUUACCUACUUAUUUCAUUUAUUUCAUAACAAAGUUAUGUAACACCCAAUGUUCAUGUGUGAAAAAGUAAACUCAGGGACAUUUGUGGGUUUUCAAUCAUGAACUGCUCAUUUCAAGUCCUGCCACAACAUCUCCAUUGGGAUCAUUAGGUCUGGACAUUGACGAGGUCAUUCCAAAACUUCAAAUGUGUUUCUUUUGAACCAUUUUCAUGUAGACUUGACUGUGUGUUUUGGAUCAAUGUCUUGCUGAUAAUUGAUACUGAGCAGAACUCAUGGUUCCUUCAACUAACGUUUUGGACUAGAUGGGUCCCGUUGUCUCUGCUGAAAACCAAACACUGCAUUCCACAGUAAAACCCUUCAUAUCAAUCGUCAAGCAUGGUGGUGGCAGUGUGAUGGUUUGAGGAUGCUUUGCUGAGUUACAGCAGUUCUGCAUGGAAGAGUGGGCCAAAAGUCCUCCACAGCAAUGUGAGAGACUGAUCAACAACUACAGGAAGUGCUUGGUUGCAGUCAUUAGAGCUAAAGGUGGAACAACCAGCUAUUGAGUGUAAAGGGGCAAUUACUUUUUCACACAGGGGAAUUGGGUGUUGCAUAACUUUGUUAAUUAAAUAGACAAAAUAAGUAUAGAUAUGGUUUGUUAUUUUGCAAACUCAGGUUCACUUUAUCUAAUUUUAGGUUUUGGUUGAAGAUCUAAUAACAUUCAGUAUUAAAAUUUAGC